UGGGAAGGCCCGUAUGAAGUCAAGGAGGUAGUCCGACCUGAAACAUACUAUCUAAAAGAGCUCGGAGGAGCAGAGCUUCCAUGACCAUGGAACUCGAAAAAUUUGCGAAUGUAUUACCAAUAGCUUUGCCUUAAAUAAAAGUUUCCUACUUGCAUAUUUUUUUUUAGCAUGAGCUUAUAACGAUAAGAAGAAACUCCCUCUUACGAUCAAAAUUAAGCUUGUUAGGAAC
rnacentral:lncRNA from 1 species